rnacentral:rRNA from 1 species
GACGAACGCUGGCGGCGUGCUUAACACAUGCAAGUCGAACGGAAAGGCCCUGCUUUUGUGAGGUGCUCGAGUGGCGAACGGGUGAGUAACACGUGAGUAACCUGCCCUUGACUUUGGGAUAACUUCAGGAAACUGGGGCUAAUACCGGAUAGGAGCUCCUGCUGCAUGGUGGGGGUUGGAAAGUUUCGGCGGUUGGGGAUGGACUCGCGGCUUAUCAGCUUGUUGGUGGGGUAGUGGCUUACCAAGGCUUUGACGGGUAGCCGGCCUGAGAGGGUGACCGGCCACAUUGGGACUGAGAUACGGCCCAGACUCCUACGGGAGGCAGCAGGGGGGAAUAUUGCACAAUGGGCGGAAGCCUGAUGCAGCAACGCCGCGUGCGGGAUGACGGCCUUCGGGUUGUAAACCGCUUUCGCCUGUGACGAAGCGUGAGUGACGGUAAUGGGUAAAGAAGCACCGGCUAACUACGUG